rnacentral:lncRNA from 10 species
AUUCCAUUCCGAGUGGCUGCCUACAACAAAGCCAAAAAAGCCAUGGACUUCUAUGAUCCAGCAAGUUCCUGAAGAUUUAGAGGACUGCCCACUUUUGAAGAUGCAGCAUUUUACAGAAAGAACAUGGGUCUCAAAAACCAUAACCUACUCCAGGAAUCCUUAAGGCAGAUAUCAUUUACCUACACUGAGUUCUUUGUUGCCACCCUGUAACAGGCACAAUGAGUUUGACUUCAUCUCAGGAACUCGAAUGAGGAAGCUCGCCCGGGAAGGAGAGAAUCCCCCAGAUGGCUUCAUGGCCCCCAAAGCAUGGAAGGUCCUGACAGAUUAUUACAGGUCCCUGGAGAAGAACUAAGCCUUUGGCUCCAGAGUUUCUUUCUGAAGUGCUCUUUGAUUACCUUUUCUAUUUUUAUGAUUAGAUGCUUUGUAUUAAAUUGCUUCUCAAUGAUGCAUUUUAAUCUUUUAUAAUGAAGUAAAAGUUGUGUCUAUAAUUAAAAAAAAAUAUAUAUAUAUACACACACACAUAUACAUACAAAGUCAAACUGAAGACCAAAUCUUAGCAGGUAAAAGCAAUAUUCUUAUACAUUUCAUAAUAAAAUUAGCUCUAUGUAUUUUCUACUGCACCUGAGCAGGCAGGUCCCAGAUUUCUUAAGGCUUUGUUUGACCAUGUGUCUAGUUACUUGCUGAAAAGUGAAUAUAUUUUCCAGCAUGUCUUGACAACCUGUACUCUUCCAAUGUCAUUUAUCAGUUGUAAAAUAUAUCAGAUUGUGUCCUCUUCUGUACAAUUGAC